GCGUUCUUAGUUCAGUUCGGUAGAACGUGGGUCUCCAAAACCCGAUGUCGUAGGUUCAAAUCCUACAGAGCGUGAUUUUUUCUUCGUAGAUCGAAUU
rnacentral:tRNA from 1 species